AUGUUUACCUGGCAGGGGAGAUACCAUGAUCACUAAGGUGGUUCUCCCAGGGCGAGGCUCAUCCAUUGCACUCCGGGUGUGCUAACCCCUGCGAUUUCCCCAAAUGCGGGAAACUCGACUGCAUAAUUUGUGGUAGUGGGGGACUGCGUUCGCGUUCUCCCCUG
rnacentral:snRNA from 1 species